CAUCCGAGCAGGCGGCAGCCGGGGAGAACGAACCUGCAGAAACAUCCGAAACAAAAGCAAAGCACUAACCGACGAUGAAACAUGAAUCAGUUGGGUCCCCACCGCACCACCUAACGCUCCUUUUGAAAUAGUUUUCUUGGAAGCAUGAUUCCUCCAUGGAUGAGCAUCCCAUCUCCAAGCCGCUUAUGAACCCACCAGCGGUCCCUUUCGCCCUCCCACUCCCCACCAAUCAUGGAUCCAUUCUGCUCUUCCACUCUCUACUCCUCCGCCCCUUCCCAUCUCUUUCUGAGCACUCCCUUUGAAAGACUCCCUUCCCGAUCCCCUACACCCUUCCGCCGUAAAUCCGUUUUCGUCUUCGCCGGCACCUCCACCCGCCGGCCGUCCUCCUCCGUCCCCAUGACCUUCGGCUUCGACACCCUCAAGGAGACCUUCUCCGUCGACGUCAGCAGCGCCGAGGGGCGGCCCCUCGACGUUCCCCUCAUCGCCCCCUUCACCAUCGCCUCCUCGCGGCUCGACGCCGUCGGGAACGUCGCCGUCCGGGUGGAGCUCCGCAACGGCUCCGUCGGCUGGGGGGAGGCCCCCGUGCUGCCCUCCGUCACCGCCGAGGACCAGCCCGCCGCCCUCGCAGCCGCCCGCGACGCCUGCCGUCUCCUCGUCCGCAGCCCGGCGACGACGCUCGGUGCCCUGCUCGCCGAGGUCGCCCGCGUCCUCCCCGACCAUGAAUUCGCUUCGGUUAGGGCUGGAGUUGAGAUGGCACUGAUCGAUGCGGUUGCUAAUAGCAUUCGCAUACCUCUGUGGAGAUUGUUUGGUGGAGUAUCGGAUUCUAUAACCACUGAUAUAACAAUUCCAAUUGUAUCCCCAAAUGAAGCUGCUGACUUGGCUGCGAAAUAUCGUAAACGAGGGUUCAGCACAUUGAAGCUGAAGGUGGGGAAAGAUUUGAAUUCGGAUAUAGAAGUUCUAAAGGCCAUAAGAUCAGUUCAUCCUGAUUGCUAUUUUAUUUUGGAUGCAAAUGAAGGCUAUACAGCUCAACAAGCAGUUGAAGUUCUUGAUAAACUCCAUGAAAUGGGGGUUGUUCCUAUUCUAUUUGAGCAACCAGUUCACAGAGAUGACUGGGAGGGUCUCCAUCAUGUUAGUCAUGUUGCAAAGGACAAAUACGGCAUAUCUGUCGCUGCAGAUGAAAGUUGUAGGAGUUUGCAUGAUGCACAGAGAAUCAUACAAGGAAAUCUUGCUCAUGUCAUCAAUAUUAAGCUGGCCAAACUUGGGGUUCUUGGGUCUCUUGAGAUAAUUGAUGUUGCAAGAAGAGCAGGUCUUGCACUUAUGAUUGGUGGUAUGGUUGAAACAAGACUUGCCAUGGGCUUUGCUGGUCAUCUGGCUGCUGGCCUUGGUUGUUUCAGUUUUGUUGAUCUUGACACGCCUCUUCUUUUGUCUGAGGAUCCAGUAAUUGGUGGAUAUGAAGUUUCUGGUGCUGUCUACAAGUUCACGAAUGCCAGGGGCCAUGGUGGUUUUCUUCAUUGGGAGAACAUCGCUUGGUUUCUGCCAUCUCCCUGUUCCUUUCGUGCAGCAGCAACCUUUCCUGUGGCACUCGGUGUGGCGACUAGCGACGUCCCUUGUUUUCUCUACCAGAAUCCAAGCGAAUAGGGUCUUCUUCUUCCCCUAUUUUUGAGGUUAUAUUUGCUUUGGUAGGCAUCUUUGGCUGGUGCUCAGAUUAGAAGUUGUCAUUGAUUACCUUCAUGAAUGAUGGUGGCAGUUAUAGCCUCCCCCAUUCUUCUGACGUUUGAGUCAUCGAGUGAGGUGUGGUCAUUGGUCUCAUAUAAAUUUUUCCCUUCAGCGAUCAAAUAAAAGGUAAGGAAGCAAGUAUUGCAGGAUCGGAAGCACUUGUAUCUGCUCUUUUAUAAAUGUAACCUCAUGGACGUAUUCUUGUUCCAAAAUGUUUACCGAGCCCAAACUAGGAUAGGACGUAGAAAUCUAGUUUAUGAGCAUAGCAUGUAGUGGGCUCUUUUGUUGUUCAUCUUGGAUCUCAGCUACGGGGUCCACGAACUUGUGAGAAUCUUUGAUGCACCAGCUGACUUGUACGAGAUAAUCGACAGCAAUAAAAUCACAAACUUGUGUCUGUUUUCUAGGUGGUUUCUGAAAA